UUGACCUCGGAUCAGGUAGGACUACCCGCUGAACUUAAGCAUAUCAAUAAGCGGAGGAAAAGAAACCAACAGGGAUUGCCCCAGUAACGGCGAGUGAAGCGGCAACAGCUCAGAUUUGGAAUCUGGCCCCCAGGGCCCGAGUUGUAAUCUGGAGAGGAUGCUUCUGGCGCGGCGCCUUCCGAGUUCCCUGGAACGGGACGCCGGAGAGGGUGAGAGCCCCGUACGGUUGGACGCCUAGCCUUUGUGAAGCUCCUUCGACGAGUCGAGUAGUUUGGGAAUGCUGCUCAAAAUGGGAGGUAAAUUUCUUCUAAAGCUAAAUACCGGCCAGAGACCGAUAGCGCACAAGUAGAGUGAUCGAAAGAUGAAAAGCACUUUGAAAAGAGGGUCAAACAGUACGUGAAAUUGUUGAAAGGGAAGCGCCCGUGGCCAGACUUGUGCCCCGCGGAACACCCGGCGCCCUCAGCGCCGGUGCACUCCGCGGGGCGCAGGCCAGCAUCGGUUUUCCUAGGGGGAUAAAGGCGGCGGGAA
rnacentral:rRNA from 1 species